UACGUAGGGGGCAAGCGUUGUCCGGAAUCAUUGGGCGUAAAGAGCGCGUAGGCGGCCCAGUAAGUCCGCUCUGAAAGUCAGGGGCUCAACCCCUGGAUGCGGGUGGAUACUGCUGGGCUAGAGUCCGGAAGAGGUGAGUGGAAUUCCUGGUGUAGCGGUGAAAUGCGCAGAUAUCAGGAGGAACACCUGCGGCGAAGGCGGGUAGCUGGGCCGACACUGACGCUGAUGCGCGAAAGCCAGGGGAGCGAACGGG
rnacentral:rRNA from 1 species